UACGUAGGGUGCAGGCGUUAAUCGGAAUUACUGGGCGUAAAGCGUGCGCAGGCGGUCUGCUAAGAGAGAUGUGAAAUCCCCGGGCUUAACCUGGGAACUGCGUUUCUAACUGGCAGGCUUGAGUGUGGCAGAGGGGGGUGGAAUUCCACGUGUAGCAGUGAAAUGCGUAGAGAUGUGGAGGAACACCGAUGGCGAAGGCAGCCCCCUGGGCUAACACGUGACGCUCAUGCACGAAAGCGUGGGGAGCAAACAGG
rnacentral:rRNA from 1 species